UGCCAUACAAGCCCAGGCACCUCCUUGUCACCCCAGCCAUGCCCCACACGGGGCACACAGCCAGGGGAGACCACACUGAGGCCGAGGUGGGAUCCCAAAGGUCCCCAACAACCCCAGAUUAUUUCAACUCCCCCUCUUUUGCCAUCUCCUCUUUGUCACCUUGUCUGUACCUUGUCUGCUCGGACGGGCAGGAGCUGGUUCCCAGCCUGGGCAGGCAUCCAUGCCCACCCCAGCGGGAGCCCUGGCAGGCAGCGUACAGACCUCCAGUGCCACCAGAAAGUAAAGCAGCAGACGAGAAGAAAACCUGCAACACUGAACACCGCAAACCAAGCAAAACAACACUCAGGUUUCUGUAGAACAGGAAAAUAGGCUGCAUUUAUGUAUACACUUCUUUAGAAAAUCAGCUACAAAACCUUAGUGGCUUUCUCUCAAUAUCUAAGUGAUGGCCACCUACAGUCACAUUAUAUUUCAGAGGCUUUUUUUCACCAUUAGAUAUGAGGGAAGGGAGAGGCAGCGUUAACAGAUUCAAAGCCUGUUUUCACACAUAUUCAUCAGAUGUGUGUAUGUGUUUGUGUGUCUGUGUGUGUUAACAUAAAACACUGUGCCUAACCCACAUGUGAAUUCAGUCUUACAUGAGGAUGACACUGACUUUAGUAAAGCCUCCACCUGUAAUACAAUACAGAUAAAGCCAGAGAUGGAAAAUACAGAGAUAUACUUCAGGCAAAAUAUAUUUUGGGGCAGCUGUGUUUAUUGAAGCCUUUAAGUAGAAGGAUCCUAAAGCGCAGCCAAGCUAACAAAAUCCUCACUUUGUUUAUCACUAAUAUUUCUGGCCCACAUUAAAAGCAACCAGAGCUGUGUGUUCUAAUACUAGGAAAAAGCUUGUUUAAGUAAAAACUGCCAAGUUGAAUCAUACUUUAUAUUCAAUAAUAUACCAUUAACAACACAGUUUUGUUAGAAGUGCACUGCAUUUAUUUUCAAGCAUUGUAAGAAGAUAAUUGCAGGCAAAGGAGACAGUUCUUUGUUUUCCCCUAGUCUGCAUUUAGCCAGCACUAACACGAGUUGUGCUUUCACUAGCCAAAAUAUAUUCACAGUCACUGAAAGAGCCACAAAGAAACCUCUGCAUGCCUGCAGAGAUUCCGAGAAGUGACACAAGUCUAGGCAUCCACUCCCUCAAUGAGAGGCCACCGAGUGUCUUCAGAGCUACCCCUCCCCAAGAGAAACAGCUCCAAUGGAGUCUCUUCUGCCAAUCAUAAAACAAGAACUUGAUGAAGUUGAACUACACAGAGUAAUAGCUUGUCAGCAGUUGCUUGAACUAAAGGUGGUGGGAGCUAUUAAUAGACAUCUUACCUGCUAAUUACUUUUCUGUGCCUUAACAUGACAGUGUGAGUGAGGAAUUGUAGCUCUUUUCUUCACAAGCUGACAAGCAGCAGCUCUAACCACCACUGAGGAGUUUUGCUGGGUAUUUUUGUGAGAAGAGCCAGCCUGGUCCCUCUGCCAGCCCAUCUUUGCACCAGCAUCCCAAGAACAGGAAGAGCUCACAAACCAAAUAUCAAAGUAAAACAAAAUUUUCUUUAACUAGCUUGAUCAAUGUUCAGUAGUUGUGUUCCCUGCUUCCCUCAAUCAAAAAAAAAAAAAAAAGGUUAAAAUUUAGGCCUCAUCUCUUUCCUGUGUUAAAUUCACUUGAUUCUUGCUGGCAGGGAAGUGCAUCUGACACUUUUAGCACAGUUGAAAAGCAAAGAGUUCCUAACUCAAACAGUGCUAACUAAUCUCUGCUGGCUUAGACAGACUGUCUAGAAGAUGCCAGGACUUUAGGGUAUUUUUAUAAUGGCCAUUGCAAGUGCAAGGCCAUCUCUGCUACCUAAAUAAACCAAGCUCAGAUCUAAACACAGUACAAUGUGCACCACAGACAUAACCACAGUCCCAUUAACAAAUCCAGAAAUCCCUUAGAACAGCCGUCUCAAUCACAACUUAUACACAACCAUGAAUACCUCUACAUCUCCAAGCACAAAUGCUCUAUCACAUUCAGUGACCCUGUUUUGACUCUUACAAACACUCCAAGACAGGGAAAUGAGCAUAUGGCCUCUCUGCCUACCUUUCUGUGUCUUUUCUUCAGCCCAGAAAGCUGAAAACCUUGUGAAACAAAAGGCAUGAAAAAAUACUGCUGGAAACCAUGUGGAGCAAAAGGCAUGCAGAGACCAGCAUUCACUUCUACUGAAGAGACCCAAGAUGGAACUGAAGGUGCUACUGUAAUACUGGUGCUUGUGAGCAAGAGGAAAAUAAAAGCAGCAUCUUCACCAGACAGGGGAGCAGACAGCAGUGCUUACACUGAUUAAUUUAUGCUGCUCUUCAGCAGAAGGCAACCAUGACUGCAUAAACUGAAGAAGCUUUAUUGAUCUGGUGACGGACUUCAGGAUUUCCUGCACUGCAGUUAAAUUAGCUCAGACUGAGGACAGGAGGGCAUAUGAUAUAUAAGCAGAACUUUAACUUGCAAUGGGCAAUAGUGAAAAUGAAACUUCAAGAUUUGAAGAGCUACAGCAGCCAUGGCUUUUCUACCUGUGGACAAUACCAACUGCUCCUGAACCCUGAGCAAAGCCCUGAAUUCUUGUAGUUGACUGUGCAAUGAAUGUCAAUUUGGCAGCCCCUAAUAAGAGGUAUGCUAGGGAUGCCUCCAUCACAUCUGGAAGGGGAGAGGAGAAAAGGGAACCAUGGAACACACAGUCAAACACAAAGUGGCAGUGCCACACCACAGUGUCUGUCCCACUCCAAGGUCACUCACAUAUUGCUGAGUCACCUGAAAGUUCACAGAUCAUGCCAGCCUCUAAAACAAGCUGCAAAGAGCUCUAGAGAACAAGAAAGGCAGUAGCACUGCAAAUGCAAAAACUGGGCCCAACUGCAGCAGAAGAUCCAGCUCAAUGUGCCACAAAGAGACCUACAAGAAGUGACAGUACACAAAUAAGCAUGAAAAGCCAUUCAAAUCAAGACCUGGCUGUUCUUCUCAGAACACAGUAAAUGAGGGUGCAGAAACAGACCCAUUGUGCCAUGGAACACAUUUGCUCAGGACAUGGCUGAAUGCAGUAUUGUACAGGUCCUGCUUUGGGGAGCAUCCAUACUCUACUUUUUCAGUUUGAUUAUGAGUCAGUGACAUGCAGCUGGCCACAGACAUUCACCUGGAGCAAAGAGCACUGCAGAUUGUGAGAGAAUCCACCACCCACCUCUUGCCCAUCAAUCUUUGCCCAAGAGAGCCAGGCACUACAGGGAAGCUCUGUAUGUAUAUGUACUCAUCUACCAAGGGGAUAAGUAACACUCUUGGGUAUUUGGUGGUCCAUUUAAUAUUUCUGUCUGAAUACUUUCCAAUGGGUCAACAUGACUGCUACCAAGCAACAGGACUUGACAAAGCUCUGAACGCAUUAAUUUUCUUGAUUCUUGAGAUACAACCUUUCUGAAAAAUGUCUUCAAACAAUCCCUAAUAGUGAAAAGACAUCUGCUCAUUAGACUGGAAGAAACCAAGAACGUUCUUACUAAUCAAAAUGUCUGAAAAAUCUGAAGAUACGUGGAAGAUGAAAGAUUGAUCUGACUGCUGAGCCCCAGUUGUAUUGUAAGAACCCCAGUAUACAACAUAAAGCUUCUCUGAAAAUGGUUUUGUUGCAUUUUUGGUUCUCAUUCAUGCCUUUCAGGGUGUAGCCACACCUCAAAAUACACUCACAUGAGGAACAUGUUGGUGCUGCAGGCAGGGAUGCCCCAGUAGCAGGGCAGCCUGCUGUUCCUGGCUCAGCCCUUGGGCAGGAGUCACCCAUACCCUACUACACCAACACAAUAUGCACAGGGCUUUAAUCUCUAGAAUUCACACUCUGAAACUAAAUCACACACAAACACACUGUAAAAGAAGUGCUCCAGGGUUGCCAUCUUAUUGCAAAGGUUUCGUACCUUCUCAGUGAUAUCUCAUGGGCAGCUCCUCACAGCACUGACUCCUUCUUCUUCUCAGCACAGCCAACAAACUCCAUCUAACUUUCUUGACCAGCCAACCUACUCUUUUACAAUAUCACCCUAAUUAGAUCUAGCUGUGGCCUAUUAAGGGCAGGCCUGUUCCUAAUUCUUGAUAAUUAGCACAGCUGUAACUCCUUAGGGGUGAGAUUACCUUCACCACUAUCUCUAUUUUCCUACAUUCCACCCAUCCACACUCCAGUCUCAAGAUACAGGAGAAAGUCCCCAGUUCUAGCAGACUUCAACCAUGUCCUUCCAGAGCUUGCUGCCUGAUUUUCUGCCUCCAAAAUACAGCCUCUUAAAGGUCGAGGUUAAUCAAGCACUUGAAGCUAUUGCCUUCAUUUCACUGCCCUUUAAAAUCAAAAAGUUGUUCAACCCAUUCUUUAGGAAAGAAAUCUUAAAAAGGCAGGAGAGGCCCCCUCCAUAGGCAGCUGCUUAGAUCAGCUCAGCUGGUCAGAGCAUGGUGCUAACAUACACCAAACCUGGGCAGGGGGUUGAUCCUUGUACAGACCAUUCUCUUAAGAGCUGAACUCAAUGAUCCUUGUGGGCCCCUUCCAACCCAGAAUAUUCCGUGAUUCUGUGACAGGGUGAAAAUUGAGCUGUCAGGAAAGAAGACCAGCCUGGCUGAACAGAGAGCUUUGACUGGAACUCAGGAAAAAAAGAGUUUAUGACUUUUGCAGAAGGGGCAGGAAACUCAGGAGGAUUACAGGGAUAUCUUGAGGUCAUACAGGGAGAAAAUCAGAAAGACCAAAGCCCAACUAGAAAUUAAUUGGGCCAGUUCCAUGAAAGAAAAGAUAAGUGUUUCUAUAAAUACAUUAACAACCAAAGGAGAACCACAGACAAUCUUCCACCUUUAUUAGAUGUUGGGAGAAACACAGCAGGGAAGAAUGAAGAAAAGACUAAGGUAUUUCAUGUCUUCUUUGCCUCAGCCUUGAGUAACAAUACCAGUUGUUCUCCAGGGACCCAGAAGACAGGAAUGGGGAACAGAAUGGAGCCUCCAUAAUCCAAGAGGAAAUGGUCAGUGACCUAUUACAUUACUUAAACACUAGAAAGUCUGUGGGGUUGGGUGGGAUCCACCCAAGGGUACUGAGGGAGCUGGUGCAAGUGCUCACUGAGCUACUUUUCAUGAAAUACCAGCAGUCCUGAUUAACUGGAGAGGUUCCAGUUGACUGCAGGUCAGCAAACAUGACAUCCAGCUCCAAGAAGUGCUGGAAGGAGAAUCUGGGCAACCACAAACCUUUCAGUCUGCUCAUGCCAGGAAAGGUCAUGGAGCAGCUCCUCCUGAGUGCAAUUACAUGGCACAUACAGGACAACUGGGAGAUCAGCCCCAACCAGCAUGGAUUUAGAAAAGACAGGUUCUGUUUGACCAAUCUGAGCUACUUCUUUGACAGGAUGACCCCCGUAGCAAAUGAGGAAAAAGCUGUGAUAUUUUAUACACAGACUUCAGAAGAGUCUUUGACAUCAUUUCUCACAGCAUUUUCCUGGAAAAACUGGCAAUUCAUGGCUUGGAUGGGUGUACUCUUGGCUGGGUAUAAAACUGGCUGGAUGAGUGGGCUCCAGGAGUCGUGGAGAAUGGAGUUAAUCCAGUUGGUGGCUGGUCACAAGUGAUGCUCCUUAGGGUUCUCUGUGAGGCCAGUCCUUUUUAAAAUACUGAUGAUCUGGAUGAGGGACUCAGUGUACUUCUGCUUUUCCUGAACUUAAGACCCACAUUGGUUACACAGACUGCUGAAUGAGAACAACAUUAAAUAACCAACGUCAUCAGGUAUCAAAAAAUGAAUUACCAGUUAAGGCACUAGCAACACAAAUCCAGAAUAAGACAUGACAGAUGCACUUAAUAAACAGUUACUGACAGAUAAUUCUACGUAAAGGCAUUACUCUUCCUCCUCCUGCUACCUAAGUAUUUUUGUCAUUCAGAUGUAAUCUAGAUGGAUGCAUGUAGUUCCCACAGGGUGAGAAAAAAGUUUAAGAGAACAAAAAUGUUACUGACAAUUGUUUGACUCACCAGUUUCGUAAAAAUUACAGCCAGGAAACAACAAAAGAGUUUAACCAUAUACUGGAUGACGUUUUCAGAAUAGCUUGCCACAAAUACAUCUUAUUCUCUAAACAUCAUUUUAAAGUAAUUUAUUUCUGUCAUUUUAUUUCUAAAUUAAAGACCAACUCUUCUUUUUGUAAACAAAACUGUGCACAGAUGAUGAUGAUGACAAUAAUGAUGAUGAUAAUAAUAAUACAAAAAGGCCAGCAUUCCUCUCCCACAUCUUUUGCCACCAAAGCCACAACACAUCCAGACAGCCACUGCUGCCUUCAAAUCUAAAGGAGGGGAGCUGCAGGGAAUGAGCAUUCCCAGCUGAUGAUACCAUUAACUUGGGACAGGACAAGAUGUACCAAAAAACAUCAGGUGCCUGGAGAUGAAGCUAAAUGAAAAUAACAACUAAAGAGUACUGUCUUCUCCUAAUUUCCUGCAAGUCCAAAAUCCACCCAACCUCAAUGCAGUUAGCAAUUUUUCUAGCUGCCAAGGGCGGCUCUGCUUCUUCCCCUGUCAUAUGAGGGGAUGUCACCCAACCCCCAUACCACAGCAAUUCCAGCAAAUAACUCAGUUUGAUGCACUACUCCCUGUUCAUGGCCAUGGGUGAGAUGAAGACUGCAGCAUAUCCAGCACUCCUGGAUAUUUCAAGAGUUGUGUAUACAGAUGGACCAUUCUGGGCACUGACAGAAAAGGAACAACUCUUUACAAUUAAUCCCAAGCAAGCUCUACCUCACUUGUGGAAUUAAAUACACAAAAACCAGCAAGAAAGUAAAAAAUGCUCCUCCAAAAGAAACUGUAGAGAAGACUCAAUGCUUUAAACACAAAAAAAAAAACUUCUCUAGAAAAGUUUCUCUUGCAAGUAGAACAUACUGGAGCUGGUUUUUUUCCCCAACUCUUCUCAUUGAGUUCUAACUUGCAUGGAUCUAUUCAGAGUUCACCAAACCAUUAACAAUUUUUAACAGUCCACAGAUGCAAAUCAGAUUUCUAUGUAAUUAAUUCCUUUUAUUACAACAGCAUCAUAGAAACUGAUCAAGAAAGGUUUAAUUUUAUUUUCUUAUUCAUAUGAUUUUCUGAAAUAAGACUGCAAGAUCCAGCAUGACCCUCCAGAGAAAUCCUCCAUGGUCACAGUCUCCUAAUAACUCCACGAUCAUUCUGAGAAAUUGUCUUAUUUUAAUGUGUGUAACAGGUCAUCUUUUGAAACAAGCUAACCAACAGAAUGCCCUGUAAUUCAGGGCCACAACAUGUUAUGCACGUCUGUGGUAACUGAAACUCAAAUAAGCCUCUCCAUGAAAUAUAUUUGAGGUUCUGAUCUCAGUCUGCUCCUCCUCUGCAAGCAGUUCAGUCUUUUCUCCCCCCUCUAAGAGACUAGAAAAUAUUAAAAUAGGCUCUUUCUAUUGCUAGAUCUGAAUACAAUCAGCUGCUCAAAUACAUUUCUAAAAACAGAGGCAACUAGGUAGAAUAUUCUUCCCCAAAUUGGCAAUAAAAUAAGCUUUCUUUAAGGUUGGGAAACUACAGUGGAAAUAACAGACCUUCUGUCCUUAUCAGCCACCUUUUCAGUUUGGGUUAAGGAAAAGAUGAUGAACAUUACAGGUUUAAUUACCAUACCUGAAACUCUGACAAGGGAGUAUAUUUUUCUACUCCCCUGGUAUAUCAGAGUGAGGACACAAACUGAAAACUUCCCUGAGCAAGUCCUUGUUCUGUAAACACAGCACUUACUGAAAAGCAGUAACAUACAAACAAUACAUGGAAUAAUUUUGCAUGGGAAGGAAAGGCACACAGCUCUACUGGGAAAAACCCAAACAAACAAACCAGAAACAAAAUGAAAUGUCUAGGGCUUUUCUUGUUUCUUUAAAUAUAAGGCAAACAAAUUUAUCUUUCAAUCUGAACAGAAGGAGUUCCUGAACUCCAUCACCUUUUAUACCUUAACAAAUACAAAUUCAAGCAACGGACUGCAGCACAAAAUUUACCAAGCCAUUAAAAACAAAAGUAAGCUAGAAUUUACUAUGAUUUGGAUGUGCAUAUAUGUAGUACUAUCCCAAUGCUUUUUCAUAUUGCAAACUACUAUUUGCAAUGCUUUCACCUAAACCAGAAUGAUGGAAGUGACCUCUCAAAAGUUACAGUUGUUUUAUCCCUGCUCACCGUUAAAUUUAAGCCAACUAUUCCUAAGGACUGACAACCUUUGAGACUGCAUAUCAGUCUACAUGUUUCAAACUUGAAAAUUCAGCUGAUUUCCUGGUAAGUUAAAAAAUUUUGCUAUGACAUAUGCAUUUGCACCUAGCCUUUACUAAUCCAGGGCUGAUAGGCUAUUAGUCUAUUCACUUUAAUUGUACAGAAGUACAAGCUUCAGUUAUGCCAAAAAGCAAGGCAACCAAGCAGAAAACUACUCCCUCUCUUCCCCUUCCACCAAGAGAGCUGUUCCAGGCACAGACACUGCUAGCAGGCCACAGCAGGCAAUUAUCCCCGCUCACAUUUUCUCCCCAGAACAAAAAAAUGAGAAGCAAAACCAGGAAAGGCCAGUUUUCCUCACAAUCUGUACAUGGGAGAUGGGCAUUUGGAAACUCUCCAUGCCCCUCAGUCUGAAUGUCACCACAGAAAGCAGAGACAAGCCAAGGCAGCCGCCUCCCACCUGAGAGGCAAAGACAAUUCUCCUCUGCUCACGGAAGGGAUGCUCACUGCUUCAGGGUCUUCAGCACCUCCCGGGCUUCAUAUGCGACAAACAGAUGUCACGGUUAUUAGUGCCAGAAGACAGUGCAAAGAACAGAACAUUUUAAGUGCCGUGGAUGGCAAAUCCCUACUGUGAACAUGAUAGCUGCAAAAAAGUAAUGCCCCAUCCCAGAGGAGCACUGAGGAAGGAUGUUCAAUGAACCACCAGAAGCAGCUUUCAGUACAGACUGAAAAAACAUUAUGAUACAUGUGAAACUGGAAAAAAAAUCCCAGCACAUUAAUUGCAGGCAGAUUAAGGAAUGGGUACUGGAUUAAUGAAAAAAAGAAUUGCCAAAUGCCUGGAUUACUUGCAAAAGAGCUGGACAAUCUUUUUGUGCACUGCUUAUCUGUAAUUUCAGGUGAAAGCCCUCUAACUGCAAAACAUAUCUGUCCUUCACUCUCUAGAAUUAUUCUGUCUCUCACUCCCUUCUCUCCCUCUCUAUGUAUGACAUAGCAGAGUAAAAAACCAUUCCAAAAGCAUUAGAGAAACAUUAAA